rnacentral:rRNA from 1 species
UACAGAGGGGGCAAGCGUUAUUCGGAAUCAUUGGGCGUAAAGCGCGUGUAGGCGGCUGAGUAAGUCUGCUCUGAAAGCCCGGGGCUCAACCCCGGGAGGCGGGUGGAUACUGCUCAGCUCGAGUCCGGAAGAGGAGUGUGGAAUUCCUGGUGUAGCGGUGAAAUGCGCAGAUAUCAGGAGGAACACCAAUGGCGAAGGCAGCACUCUGGGACGGUACUGACGCUGAGACGCGAAAGCGUGGGGAGCAAACAGG